rnacentral:tRNA from 1 species
GUUUGGCCGAGUGGUUAAGGCGACAGACUCGAAUCCCCUCGAGGUUAUCUGUUGGGUUCGCCCGCACAGGUUCAAAUCCUGUAGC